rnacentral:tRNA from 1 species
GCGCGGUUAGCUCAGUGGUAGAGCGCCUCGUUUACACCGAGGAGGCCGUAGGCUCAAUCCCUACACCGCGCACAA